GCCUGCAUGAAGCCGGAAUUGCUAGUAAUGGCAGGUCAGCAUACUGCCGUGAAUACGUUCCCGGGCCUUGUACACACCGCCCGUCACACCAUGAGAGUUGGGAAUACCCGAAGCCUGUGAGCUAACAAGUUUCUUGAGGCAGCAGUCGAAGGUAGAAUCAAUGAUUGGGGUGAAGUCGUAACAAGGUAAC
rnacentral:rRNA from 1 species